UAGAGUUGUUGCUCUUCACUUAUAGAUGUAUUCUGGCAACCUUGAGGCAGUGGGCUUUGACCGUAAGAGAGGAUUUUUGACUCUGUUCCUGUGACAUUUUUAUAAUGAGAAGAGGAAAUACAAGCUAAAGAAAUUUGCCAUAAGUUACCUCAAUGAAAGAUGUUUCAGCACUGUUCCUGGCAGAGUAACCGCACGGAAGAGCUGCCGUAAUUGCGAGCAUCCGUCACGGCACCGGCCCGCGGGGCCCCGGCUGGAGCGACGGGUCUGUAUGAAGCUGGGCACUGUGGUGGCACGGGGAGGAGGAGGAGGAGGAAGGGCUUCCAGGAGGCUGGGAGCCUGUGCCCGCAGGUAGCUCGUCCCCAGUCCCGGGAGCAGCAC